UACGUAGGGGGCAAGCGUUGUCCGGAAUCAUUGGGCGUAAAGAGCGUGUAGGCGGCUCGAUAAGUCUGCUGUGAAAGUCCAGGGCUCAACCCUGGAAGGCCGGUGGAAACUGUCGGGCUAGAGUCCGGAGGAGGCGAGUGGAAUUCCCGGUGUAGCGGUGAAAUGCGCAGAUAUCGGGAGGAACACCAAUGGCGAAGGCAGCUCGCUGGGACGGUACUGACGCUGAGACGCGAAAGCGUGGGGAGCAAACAGG
rnacentral:rRNA from 1 species